AUGUUGGCCGCCGUAGGGGGCGCCUCGCGUGGGUCACGCGGCUGCGAGAGCGCCCCGGAUCGGGGAAACCGGCGAAACGGACCAUGGGUGUAGGGUCAGCAUGGCGAUCUCCGCGUGGUGGGGCCGUCCUGGGGCUGGAACACCUCCAUUGCGCAUUAGCUAGUUGGUGAGGUAACGGCUCACCAAGGCAACGAUGCGUAGCCGACCUGAGAGGGUGAUCGGCCACACUGGGACUGAGACACGGCCCAGACUCCUACGGGAGGCAGCAGUAGGGAAUCUUCCGCAAUGGACGAAAGUCUGACGGAGCAACGCCGCGUGAGUGAUGAAGGUUUUCGGAUCGUAAAGCUCUGUUGUUAGGGAAGAACAAGUACCGUUCGAAUAGGGCGGUACCUUGACGGUACCUAACCAGAAAGCCACGGCUAACUACGUGCCAGCAGCCGCGGUAAUACGUAGGUGGCAAGCGUUGUCCGGAAUUAUUGGGCGUAAAGGGCUCGCAGGCGGUUUCUUAAGUCUGAUGUGAAAGCCCCCGGCUCAACCGGGGAGGGUCAUUGGAAACUGGGGAACUUGAGUGCAGAAGAGGAGAGUGGAAU
rnacentral:rRNA from 1 species